UAGAGAGAGAAAAUCAUCUUUUAUUGCUAAUAACCAAUUUUACAAGCAAAGAAAACCAUUCCUUUUCCGGCACUGGCAGUAAGAAAUUUACACACAACAGGAACUCGUACUCUAUCACAGGAUAAGCUACAAAUCUUUGAUGUUGGAAAAGGGAAAGAAAAUUUUAGGGAAAAAAAUGUGGGGCUAAAAUGUACCUUUGGUACACAAAUAAUACACCUGUUUAAUUGGCCACUCCAAGUUUUGAGAUGGCUCUUGCAUAGCUGCUUUCUGCAAAUGUGACAUACAGCCUGCUUUUUUCACGCUUGAAUUGGUUGGAAUAGGCUUAACCUCCAUUCACAUUCUCUUCAUUCCAAGAUGAGUCCACUGAAGGAAGCUGAUACUCGUCAGGUUUCAGUGACAAAGCAAAAUCAGGCAAUGUCGGUGCUGUCUCCAUUAUUCUUUAGUCAACAUCACCAAAACCCAUGCUUCAGGAUUGUGUCAACAUUCCAUUCAAGCAAAUUCGAAGAAAAAUAAAUAAAAAGGAAAAAAAAACUCAACACCACUUACUUUUCAUGAGAGUAGAGAUCGCGAUUAAUCCGCACCUUGCUAGAAGUAUCUUUUGGAAUUUUCUCAGAUAGAUAUUUCACUGUUCCCCAAAGCGGUGGAUUUCUGCACCAAGACAGUAUUUAGACAGGAAAAAUGAAUACUGACAUGAUCUGAAAGCUUGUCAGCAGAAAGAAACUGAAUAGAAUGUCCAGGGAAUGUUUAGUAAAUUAGCCACAUAAUUAUAGAAACUAACUACUAUUAGUGCAUGAAAGUUUACAUAUAAUGUGAUGACUUCAAUUUUUUUUCAGUUGUCAGUUCAUCAAAAUAGAAGGUGAUAACAUUAUCUCACUAUAGUGAGUCAGAUUACAACUAUGUAGAAGGUCCAAGAAAGUUUCAACUAAUUCUCAAUAACAAUCAUAAUAAUAGUAUCUAAGUCCCCUGUAUAACAUAUGUAUUCAUAGUAAAAUAAUAGUCUUAUUACCACUAGGAUUAGGAAUCUAAAACAACUAUAUCCCCCAAAUAAAACAAAAAUACUAAUUUCUAAAUAUAAUAGAAUUCGUAAAUAAUAUAAACUUCCUAGCCUAAUUAAAUUUCCCAAUAUAAAAACCCUAAUUUUACAAUAGAAACAAUUCUUAAAUUGUUUUUGAAUCUUCAUCUUCCUAGACUGCAUCAACAUCUUAAUUAUUAUUUUGAAUAAGCAAAAAAGAAAAGAAUGAAAUUGCCCAGAAUGGCAUCAAUGAUCGCUUUAAAAAGGAAGAGAGCAAAGAGGAGCACAGACAGAUAAUAAAGUAUAAACUUGUUGGCUUGGAGAAGACAGAGGACAUGUUUUUUUGCCUACAUAAGAGUAGAAUAGUCUUUAGCAAAUAGAAAGGUAUCUGAGUACAAGAUGAUUCCACAUUGCAAUCAAAUGUAUGCAACGUACCAAAGUCCUAGCAGAAGAGGAAGAAAAUCAAAAAGUUAAGAAACUAAAGAAUUGACUUACUGAGGUGGUGACAGUUAAAUGAAUCACUCAGCCUCUCAGAUGAAACUAGCUGAUGAUUGAUGACAUUCCUAUUAAGAUCGGAACAUUGUGGGAGUUAAUAGACACUGUUUCAAUAAACUCAUAAGUCAUAGGUAGAUGGUGUCAUUUCAGCGGCCAAGCUACGAUCAAGUGCAAAGGCUGAAUACAUAGCCAUGGCUCAAGGUGUUUGUGAUCUUUCGUGGAUUCAAAGAUUUAUGCAAGAUUUACAGUUAUUGGAAGAGAAAAAACUGUUUAUAUUGUGAUAACAAGGCUGUUAAGCCUAUUAGUAUUGCUCACAUUCCAAUUCAACAUGAUCAAACAAAGCACAUUAAAAUCGAUCAUCAUUUCAUUAAAAUCAUGGAGUUAUGGAUAUCGCUUAUGCGACUUCUGAAAAUCAAUUAGUUGAUAUUUUCACUAAGGGAAUUAGUAGCACAUAUUUCCAUGGUUUAGUUUGCAAGAUGGGCAUGCAAGAUACCUAUGCACCAUUUUAAGGGGGCAGUGUUGAUAAUUGUUAUGGAAAGUCAAUCAAUAUAUUAUUUUUUUGUAUAUUCUGUAUUCUGUAUU
rnacentral:misc_RNA from 1 species